GGCUCAGCUGGUUAGAGCGUGGUGCUGAUAACACCAUGGUUGUGGGUUCAAUCCCUGU
rnacentral:tRNA from 1 species